CCUCUGACAACUGCCUUCAGUUUGUGCUCUCUCCCAGUGAGAAUCACCUAGCCAACCCAAAGAUACAUGAGAAAUAAUUAGUGUUUGAAGUUUUAAGCUGCUACAUUUUGGGGUGGUUUUUUACACAUCAAUAUUGAUAUGAAAUUCUGAUCCUUAGGUCGUUUUCCAGCUUCAGUCCUAUGAUGUCUCCAGGUCAUGGGAACCUACUCAUCUGCAACUUUUGGAGAAAUGCGUCAGUUCAUUUUUGUAUGGCCUCUUUCUUACCCUUCCAUUUUCAUCCAGACCCACCUGCUCUUUGAUGAGAACUAACCUGUCAUGAUCUCAGGGUCCUGGGAUCAAAUGGGAAGAGCGGCUUGACUGGGGCGAUGCUUCGGUGUGGCUGCUGUCAGCUCCCUUUUCUCAACAGACCAUUACCUUGCCUGGAAUA